CCUACGGGGGGCACCAGUGGGGAAUAUUGGACAAUGGGCGAAAGCCUGAUCCAGCAAUGCCGCGUGUGUGAAGAAGGUCUUCGGAUUGUAGAGCACUUUCGACGGGGACGAUGAAGACGGUACCCGUAGAAGAAGCCCCGGCUAGCUUCGUGCCAGCAGCCGCGGUAAUACGAAGGGGGCUAGCGUUGCUCGGAAUGACUGGGCGUAAAGGGCGCGUAGGCGGUUUAUGCAGUCAGAUGUGAAAUCCCCGGGCUUAACCUGGGAACUGCAUUUGAGACGCAUAGACUAGAGGUCGAGAGAGGGUUGUGGAAUUCCCAGUAUAGAGGUGAAAUUCGUAGAUAUUGGGAAGAACACCGGUGGCGAAGGCGGCAACCUGGCUCGAUACUGACGCUGAGGCGCGAAAGCGUGGGGAGCAAACGGGAUUAGAUACCCUUGUAGUC
rnacentral:rRNA from 1 species